AUCCUUUCUGGGAAGCGUAGUCUUAGGUGUCUGGAGAAGUCGCCCGGUUUCUGCUUGCUGGUCGCGAAAUUUUAUAGCUAUAAUUAACUCAGGGCGGAACAGCUAGCAGAAUCCUCAGCGUUCGGGCAAAGGGCAGAGAAUCCAGCCAGAAGCAACAUGUAGAUCUAAUGACCUUCUCCAGGAGUCGAGGACCCACUACCUCGCUGAAUUCUCAGAGUCAAAAUGCGUCUCUACCUGCUGGUCCCAGAACAGUCCCCUGCUGCUGCAUUGAAUGAAUCUCAUCUCACUUCCUCGAGUCAGCCCUACCUAUAUUUGAUGAUCACAAACCUUAUCCUUACGUUGCCAGCAGUAACAUUCUGCAUCCCUCACCCACUCCACUGUGUCCUUUUCCUCCCACUGAUCUUCACUCUGCCUUUUCUAGGGGAACUCUGAACAGUAUUUCUGAGAAGGGGUAGGUAAUGUGCGCUUUGCUUC
rnacentral:lncRNA from 10 species